ACUUCCAUAAACGUAGUGCUCAGAUGUAGGGAGCAAGGCUGGAUUUGUAGUGCGGCUCCUGAACCAGACGCACAGCUGAGGCUAUUUAAAGGGCUUUCACUGUCAACAACGCGUGCUAUUUCCUCAAACACUGAGGAAGGAAAGGCAGGCCGUCAUGGCGGGUGUCGGGGCGAACGCCUCUGCAAACCCCACCUGUAAGAUUAUGACCUUUCGUCCCACCAUGGAGGAAUUUCGGGAUUUUAAUAAGUAUCUGGUGUACAUGGAGUCUCAGGGAGCGCACCGGGCCGGUCUGGCUAAGGUGAUACCACCGAAGGGCUGGAAGCCGAGACGCACCUACGAUGACAUCGAUGACCUCGUCAUCCUGGCGCCCAUUCAGCAGAUGGUGGCCGGCCAAUCAGGGCUCUUCACUCAGUACAACAUCCAGAAGAAGCCGCUCAGCGUGCAGGAGUUCCGCAGGCUGGCGAAUAGCGACAAGUACUGCACCCCUCGGUACCUGAACUACGAGGACCUCGAGAGAAAGUACUGGAAGAACCUGACCUUUGUGCCACCCAUAUACGGCGCGGACGUGAGCGGGACGCUGUAUGACGAGGACGUGGAGGAGUGGAACAUCGGACACCUGAACUCCAUCCUGGACGUGAUCGAGGAGGACUGCGGCGUCUCCAUCCAAGGCGUGAACACCCCGUACCUGUACUUCGGCAUGUGGAAGACGAGCUUCUCCUGGCACACGGAGGACAUGGACCUCUACAGCAUCAACUACCUGCACUUCGGAGAGCCCAAGUCCUGGUACGCCAUUCCUCCAGAACACGGGAAGCGACUGGAGCGAUUAGCCACAGGUUUUUUCCCUAACAGCUUUAAGAGUUGUGAAGCAUUUCUCAGACACAAGAUGACCCUCAUAUCACCUUCUGUGCUGAAGAAAUACAGCAUCCCGUUUGAUAAGAUAACACAAGAAGCCGGAGAGUUCAUGAUCACGUUUCCCUACGGCUACCACGCUGGCUUCAACCACGGCUUCAACUGCGCCGAGUCCACCAACUUCGCCAGCCUGCGCUGGAUCGACUACGGCAAAAUCGCCACUCAGUGCACAUGCAGUAAGGACAUGGUGAAGAUCUCCAUGGACCCAUUCGUGAGACGUUUCCAACCAGAUCGAUAUCAGGUGUGGACGCAAGGCAAAGACACGUGCUCGAUAGACCACACCUUGGCCACGCCCAGCACUACACCUGAGCUCCAAACGUGGCUCCAGAGACGCCGCAGGGCCAGAGCCAACAAAAAAGCGAGCUACCCUUGCACACGCUCCAAACGACUGAAAACCGUGCAGCAGCCGGUCGUCGUGGAAACCACAACUACACGGAUAAGUGACCAGGAAAAGGAAGCGAAAGAGGAGGAAGAUCAUAAAACCCACAAUGCAUCGCGCCUCUCAGGGCCUGCUAGUCUGUGUCAACAGAUUUGUUUCGUCAAGGUCACUCGAGUUGAGAGCAAUUUAUUGGUCCAGUCGUCUAAAAGAGCAUCAACCCAAGCCCCGCCCCCUGAUCCACAAGACACGCCAAGAGAAGCCUUAGGAACCGAGGAGUCUCUAACCUCAGCUGAUAAAGCUCCUGGUUCUGGUAUGGGUGACACGCUGGACUCAGAAGAACCUUCUGAACGUUCGUGUAUUGCCAAAUCCUCGAGCAGCAAAUCCCCAUCUGAAAAUCAAUCCCCUUGUCAAGGUGCGGUUCAUGAAGAAAACCCUUCUGCUGUAAAUCCCUCCACUACAACAGUCACUACUGAAACCUGUGAACUCGCAGAACAUUCAGGAGCUCCUUCGUCCGACAUGCCUUUCCUUACUCCAGAAAUCACGGAGGAUCCCGAGGGAAGAAAAUCUCCAAAUCUGUCAUCUGAAAUGCCCUUCCUGACCCUCGCGGUCCAGUCCACUGAUAAUAACACACUUCUGAAUCCUUCUAAAUCCACCUCACCUCAGAAUGCGAUGGGUGAAACCAGCGUUUGCUCUAAAGCACUGUAUCCUGAUUGGUGCUCAAAUGCAUUCCAAGAAGACAUCAGCCAAUCCCUCGGCUCUGAUCCAGACACUACCAAGGAACUCCUCAAAAAGAAAGCUGGAGAUGGAUCUACAUCAAUGGGUCAAGCUGCGAACCCAGUCGCUGAUAUCUCACAUCACCUCAAAGCCAGUACUGAACUUUUCGGAUGUAGCUCUGUGCAGGAUUCUCCAUUAUCAGCUAACACUAACACACUUUCCAGUGAGUCUCCUUCCACCUCUUACGAUCAGAACCUUCCCAACAAGCCCUCGUUUCCUCUCAAUGAAGCCGACUUCACGUCUUCUACAUUACCAAACCUCUUUGAGGAAUCUUCUACCAUCUGGAAGAACUUAAGCUACCAAAAUCCUGAAGUUUCCGAGCUAGCGGUGCCUUACGCCAUGUGGGCGGAGCCUCGGUGCCAGGAGGUGAAGUGCCCAGAUCCUUCAGACUUUCCAGAGAAGAGCCUGACAUUUACUGAUCUGGAACCCAGUGUGGUUCAUCAUUCUGGUGCGGAGCUUCUUGAUUCCCCGGGCAGGCCUCAGAGGUCAGACAGUAGCAGCGAGUCUGGUGAGGAGAACUCCAUGAGUGAGGCGGAGUAUGGAGAUUCAGGCAUUGAGCCGGGAGAAGUCCGCAUCUACACAAUGCCCGCGGUGAAGAGAAAGACGGGCAAAAGUUGGCGCCACCCUCUGAGGAAACCGACAGCCAGGGCGGUUCCAAGCGCCGUGAAGCAGCAAGCCAACAGCGAUGAUGAACCCAUAGAGGAGAGUACCGCGGAGGAAGAACUGCAGGAGGCUGACGUCUGGGCGAGACCCCUGGUUCAUCUCUGGCACAGCAGGAAGUCUCACUUCCCCUCUGAGAGAGAGUACAACAGCACGGCGGCUAAAGCGCCGCCGCACUGCGCCGUAUGCACACUAUUCAUGCCUUACUAUCAGCCUGAAGAGACGAAAGACGAAAGCAGACCCGAGAUCACGAUGGCGGUCGGAGAGGCGACAGCCAGGUCGCGACCUCUGAUUCCUGAAAUAUGCUUCGCGUACCGUGAGGGGUCGUGUCCCCCCAACACACUCCUGGAGGAAGAUGGAUCCAGUCCUCUCGUAGCCUGUAAACGCUGCUGCGUACAAGUUCACGCCAGUUGCUAUGGCGUCGCUGCUCAUGAUGUCACCCCGGAGUGGACGUGUGACCGCUGUUCGAGUGGAGAUCUAACCGCCGACUGCUGCUUGUGUAACUUGAGAGGCGGUGCGUUGAAAAGAACGACAGACAACAGAUGGGCUCAUGUGAUGUGUGCUGUGGGUCUUCCUGAGGUCAAAUUCAUUGACGUAGUGAAGAGGAGUCCCAUCGAUAUCAGCGCUGUCCCUGCACAGAGAUACAAACUGAAGUGUAUAUAUUGUCAUAAACGGAUGAAGAAGUUAGCGGGUGCGUGUAUCCAGUGCUCCUGUGGCCGCUGUCCCACCUCCUUCCACGUCACGUGCGCUCACGCCGCCGGCAUCACCAUGGAGCCUGACGACUGGCCGUACGUGGUGUUCAUCAUCUGCCACAGGCACCAAUCACGGAGCUCCAGCACUAAAUCGAAGGUGAGCCGAACAGAGCUGGCUCUGGGCCAAACUGUAAUCGCCAAGCACAAGAACCUGCGCUACUACAGCUGCCGCAUCGCCAGCGUCACGGCACAGAUGUUCUACGAGGUCAUGUUCGAUGAUGGAUCCUUCAGCAAUGACACUUUCCCUGAAGAUAUCGUGAGCAGAGACUGUGUUCAGCUCGGGCCUCCGGAGGUCGGCGAGGUCGUGCAGGUCAAGUGGCCCGAUGGGCUUUUUUAUGGGGCUAAAUACCUGGGCUCUAACACUACAUACAUGUAUCAGGUGGAGUUUGAGGACGGUUCUCAGGUGCUGGCUAAGAGAGAGGACAUUUACACCCUGGACGAGGACCUGCCCAAAAAGGUCAAAGGUCGUCUCGUAAGUCAUGAACACGACUUCACCAUGUACACGGACACUAUAGGGUUAUGGGAGGCGGCCAUCUUGGACAACCAGAAUUAUUUUUUCAGUACAGUUUUGUAUUAUUCCAUCACCUAGGCUCCGCCUCCUGAUGAUUAAAGGUGGAACUGUAGCAGAAGCUGGACGUGAUCUAGAUGGAAACAUGGUCCGGGUUUAACCUGAGUGAAUACAGACUUCACAAAAAUAAUAGCAGCUAAACUAAACGCGCGUCAACAAAUCCGGAUUCCGUAGGCAAUUUGCGUGUGCUGCAUGGAGUGCAUUUGCAUACUGGAAUCUGAUUGGCUCUUAUGUUUUAUGACAUCAUAACCCUCCAGUUUAAGAUGGUCAGCUGCCUGUUUCUUAAAAGCAGGCGGCAAAACGACACGUGACAAUUUUCACCUACUCAAUUAUUUAAUGAAUUCAUUCCACUGAUAGGAUUAAACAAAAAAUAAAAAAUAAAAAAUCCAAGAUUAGCUUUGUAGUUCUAGCAUAAAGAAGCAAACGUAAGACACCAAACAUUACCUUAUCAGUUACUUCUGUGGUACAUGAGGAGGAAAUGCUGUGUAUUUGACUUGAACCUGAACCGUUUCUUUAAUUUAUGUGCAGCAUCCUGUGAAAAAAAAACCCUGCAAAAUAUAAAUGUUAUAUUUUAACAUUUAAUUUUUUUUUCCUUUCCUCUUUUGUGUGUGUAUCUCAGCCAGAAUUAAAGUGGUGGUUGAAUCGAAAAGGGAGAAAACUGCAUGUAAAGAUUCGGACAUUGUGACUCUCGGUAUCUGUUUACAGACUGAACUGAUUUGUUUGUGUCUCUAUUUCAUAUCCAACAACUUGAUCAAAUCGUGACGUGAGGAGAUCGCACUCAGCUAGCAAGGUUUUAGUCGUCUUUAGGAAACCGGUCGUGUUGUUUUGGUGAAAUAUAUUUAUUGUUUCUUUAAAGCUGAGGUGGAGAAGUACGCUACAGAAAGAAUAACAAGAAUUUUAAGCUAGUUUGGGUUUUCCCAGACCGCCACACAAAUCUCCACAGCCUCCAGCAUGCGUUUCGAGGACGCUUUCUUCACCACGCAGGGUGAGCGUAAGAGGCA